UAAGCGGAGAAAAGAAACUAACAAGGAUUCCCCUAGUAACUGCGAGUGAAGCGGGAAAAGCUCAAAUUUAAAAUCUGGUGGCCUUUGGCCAUCCGAGUUGUAAUUUAGAGAAGCGUCUUCCGCGCUGGACCGUGCACAAGUCUCCUGGAAUGGAGCGUCAUAGAGGGUGAGAAUCCCGUCUUUGGCACGGACGCACCAGGGCUUUUGUGAUGCGCUCUCGAAGAGUCGAGUUGUUUGGGAAUGCAGCUCAAAAUGGGUGGUGAACUCCAUCUAAAGCUAAAUAUUGGCGAGAGACCGAUAGCGAACAAGUACCGUGAGGGAAAGAUGAAAAGCACUUUGGAAAGAGAGUGAAACAGUACGUGAAAUUGUUGAAAGGGAAACGCUUGAAGUCAGUCGCGUCGCCCGAGACUCAGCCUCGCCUCGGCUUGGUGUACUUCUCGGCCGACGGGUCAGCAUCAAUUUUGCCCCUCGGAUAAUGGCGAGGGAAAUGUGACACCUUUACGGGUGUGUUAUAGUCUUUCGUCGCAUGCGAGGGUCGGGAUUGAGGAACUCAGCACGCGCCUUCGGGCGUCGGGGUUCGCCCACGAUACGUGCUUAKGAUGUUGGCGUAAUGGCUUUAAACGACCCGUCUUGAAACACGGACCAAGGAGUCUAACAUGCCCGCGAGUGUUCGGGUGGAAAACCCGUGCGCGCAAUGAAAGUAAAAGUUGGGACCUCUGUCGUGGAGGGCACCAACGCCCGGACCAGACCUUCUGUGACGGAUCUGCGGUAGAGCGUGUAUGUUAGGACCCGAAAGAUGGUGA
rnacentral:rRNA from 1 species